rnacentral:tRNA from 1 species
UUCACCACGGGCGGCUGCAUCGCGCGGCUUUCGGCUUCGUAAUAGCCGAUCUCGCUGAAGAAGGUGAGAUCGGGCGUGAGUUCGAACUCACCGGUCAAG